UUCCAACAACUAUAAAUUUCCCAAGAGAAAUUUCCUACACUUGAAAUUCAUUUAGGUUGAUAAAUUUAUCUAAGAUAAAUUGAAAUAAUAAAAUCCAAAAAAAUAAUAUCUCCAGCAUCAAGUUACGUCAUUUAGAAGUUUUUUCAAAGAUAAAAAAUGAAGAAAAAUAUAAUGAGAUAUGAAAAAUAAAAGUUUUUAUGUUAUAUAUGUUAUUUCAGCUAGUGAACCUUGUAUUUUGUUGUUUGGGAUGAUCACCACCCUCAUGUAAUGAUCACGUUGAAAGUCCUUGUU
rnacentral:lncRNA from 1 species